UUCCGGUUGAUCCCGCCGGACCCGACUGCUAUUUGGGUGAGAAUAAGCCAUGCGAGUUGAAUGGGAUACCUAAAGUUCCCAUAGCAAACUGCUCAGUAACACAUGAUCAACUUACCCUAUAGAGAAAAAUAACCUCGGGAAACUGAGGAUAAUAUUUCAUAAUUGAAUUGGCUUGGAAAAGUUUUUCAAUGAAAGGGAUAAAAAAAAUGGUUUUUAUCUGCUAUAGGAUAGGAUCGUGUUCGAUUAUGGUUGUUGGUGAGAUAAUGGCUCACCAAGCCGAUAAUCGAUAGGGGCCGUGAGAGCGGGAGCCCCGAGAUGGGUACUGAGACAACGACCCAGGCCUUACGAGGCGCAGCAGGCGCGGAACCUCCGCAAUACACGAAAGUGUGACGGGGUUACCCAAAGUGUUCAAUAGAACUGUGGUAGGUGAGUAAUGUCCCCUACUAGAAAGGAGAGGGCAAGGCUGGUGCCAGCCGCCGCGGUAAAACCAGCUCUUCAAGUGGUCGGGAUAAUUAUUGGGCUUAAAGUGUCCGUAGCCGGUUUAGUAAGUUCCUGGUAAAAUCGGGUAGCUUAACUAUCUGCAUGCUAGGAAUACUGCUAUACUAGAGGGCGGGAGAGGUCUGAGGUACUACAGGGGUAGGGGUGAAAUCUUAUAAUCCUUGUAGGACCACCAGUGGCGAAGGCGUCAGACUGGAACGCGCCUGACGGUGAGGGACGAAAGCCAGGGGAGCGAACCGGAUUAGAUACCCGGGUAGUCCUGGCCGUAAACGAUGCAUACUAGGUGAUGGUACGGCCAUGAGCCGUAUCAGUGCCGUAGGGAAACCGUUAAGUGUGCCGCCUGGGAAGUACGGUCGCAAGGCUAAAACUUAAAGGAAUUGGCGGGGGAGCACCACAAGGGGUGAAGCCUGCGGUUCAAUUGGAGUCAACGCCGGGAAUCACUAGUGCGGCCG
rnacentral:rRNA from 1 species